rnacentral:rRNA from 1 species
AGGACGAACGCUGGCGGCGUGCUUAACACAUGCAAGUCGAACGGAAGUAGAAAUACUUAGUGGCGGACGGGUGAGUAACGCGUGAGCAACCUGCCCUUAUCAGGGGGAUAACACAGAGAAAUUUGUGCUAAUACCGCAUAACGUUGCGAAUAGGCAUCUAAUUGCAACCAAAGAUUUAUCGGAUAAGGAAGGGCUCGCGUCCCAUUAGGUAGUUGGUGAGGUAACGGCCCACCAAGCCGACGAUGGGUAGCCGAUCUGAGAGGAUGAGCGGCCACAUUGGAACUGAGAGACGGUCCAGACUCCUACGGGAGGCAGCAGUGGGGAAUAUUGGGCAAUGGGCGCAAGCCUGAACCCCCAGCAACGCCGCGUGAAUGAAGAAGGUUUUCGGAUUGUAAAGUUCUGUGAUGGGGGACGAAGAAAGUGACGGUACCCCAAUAGCAAGCUACGGCUAACUACGUGCCAGCAGCAGC